rnacentral:rRNA from 1 species
UACGUAGGGGGCUAGCGUUGUCCGGAAUCAUUGGGCGUAAAGCGCGUGUAGGCGGUCCGGUAAGUCCGCUGUGAAAGUCGGGGGCUCAACCCUCGGAUGCCGGUGGAUACUGUCGGGCUUGAGUACGGAAGAGGCGAGUGGAAUUCCUGGUGUAGCGGUGAAAUGCGCAGAUAUCAGGAAGAACACCCGUGGCGAAGGCGGCUCUCUGGGACGGUACUGACGCUGAGACGCGAAAGCGUGGGGAGCGAAUAGG